CCAGACUCCUACGGGAGGCAGCAGUGGGGAAUAUUGCACAAUGGGGGGAACCCUGAUGCAGCGACGCCGCGUGGGUGAAGGAGUAUUUCGGUAUGUAAAGCCCUAUCAGCAGGGAAGAACAAUGACGGUACCUGACUAAGAAGCACCGGCUAAAUACGUGCCAGCAGCCGCGGUAAUACGUAUGGUGCAAGCGUUAUCCGGAUUUACUGGGUGUAAAGGGAGCGCAGGCGGCGCGUUAAGCCUGGUGUGAAAGCCCGGGGCCCAACCCCGGGACUGCUCUGGAAACUGCGUCGCUGGAGUACGGGAGGGGCAGGCGGAAUUCCUGGUGUAGCGGUGAAAUGCGUAGAUAUCAGGAGGAACACCAGUGGCGAAGGCGGCCUACUGGACGGUGACUGACGCUGAGGCUCGAAAGCGUGGGGAGCAAACAGGAUUAGAUACCCGGGUAC
rnacentral:rRNA from 1 species